rnacentral:rRNA from 1 species
GACGAACGCUGGCGGCGUGCCUAAUACAUGCAAGUCGAACGCAGGGGGGACGGGUGAGUAACACGUGGGUAACCUCCCAUCAGAGGGGAUAACACUUGGAAACAGGUGCUAAACCGAUACUGAUGGAUGGACGGGCGGUGCAUUAGCUAGUUGGUGAGGUAACGGCUCACCAAGGCCACGAUGCAUAGCCGGCUGGAGAGGGUGACCAGCCACACUGGGACUGAGACACGGCCCAGACUCCUACGGGAGGCAGCAGUAGGGAAUCUUCGGCAAUGGGCGAAAGUCUGACCCAGCAACGCCGCGUGUGUGAAGAAGGUUUUCGGAUCGUAAAGCUCUUUUGUUAGAGAAGCGGUAUCUAACCAGAAAGCCACGGCUAACUACGUGCCAGCAGCCGCGGUAAUAC